GACGGAGGGUGCAAGCGUUAUCCGGAUUCACUGGGUUUAAAGGGUGCGUAGGUGGGCAGGUAAGUCAGUGGUGAAAUCUCCGAGCUUAACUCGGAAACUGCCGUUGAUACUAUUUGUCUUGAAUAUUGUGGAGGUAAGCGGAAUAUGUCAUGUAGCGGUGAAAUGCUUAGAUAUGACAUAGAACACCAAUUGCGAAGGCAGCUUACUACACAACGAUUGACGCUGAGGCACGAAAGCGUGGGGAUCAAACAGG
rnacentral:rRNA from 1 species